rnacentral:rRNA from 1 species
UACGUAGGGGGCAAGCGUUGUCCGGAAUCAUUGGGCGUAAAGCGCGUGUAGGCGGCUCGAUAAGUCUGCUGUGAAAGUCCAGGGCUCAACCCUGGGAUGCCGGUGGAUACUGUCGAGCUCGAGUCCGGAAGAGGCGAGUGGAAUUCCCGGUGUAGCGGUGAAAUGCGCAGAUAUCGGGAGGAACACCAAUGGCGAAGGCAGCUCGCUGGGACGUUACUGACGCUGAGACGCGAAAGCGUGGGGAGCAAACAGG